GAUGAACGCUGACAGAAUGCUUAACACAUGCAAGUCGAUGGGGAAGUGGUGCUUGCACCAUGGCAACCAUGGCGGACGGGUGAGUAACGCGUAAGGGACUUACCUGCAGGACUGGGAUAACAGGGGGAAACUCCUGACAAGACCGGAUAAUGUCAUGGAGCUGCAUGGCUUUAUGAUGAAAGGAGACGCCUGCGGAGAGCCUUGCGUCCUAUUAGCUAGUUGGUGAGGUAAGGGCUCACCAAGGCGAAGAUAGGUAGCCGGCCUGAGAGGGUGGACGGCCACAAGGGGACUGAGAUACGGCCCUUACUCCUACGGGAGGCAGCAGUGGGGAAUAUUGGACAAUGGGGGCAACCCUGAUCCAGCAAUUCUGUGUGCACGAAGAAGGUUUUCGGAUUGUAAAGUGCUUUCAGCAGGGAAGAAGGAAGUGACGGUACCUGCAGAAGAAGCGACGGCUAAAUACGUGCCAGCAGCCGCGGUAAUACGUAUGUCGCGAGCGUUAUCCGGAAUUAUUGGGCAUAAAGGGCAUCUAGGCGGCCUGACAAGUCAGGGGUGAAAACCUGCGGCUCAACCGCAGGCCUGCCUUUGAAACUGUGAGGCUGGAGUACCGGAGAGGUGGACGGAACUGCACGAGUAGAGGUGAAAUUCGUAGAUAUGUGCAGGAAUGCCGAUGAUGAAGAUAGUUCACUGGACGGUAACUGACGCUGAAGUGCGAAAGCCGGGGGAGCAAACAGG
rnacentral:rRNA from 1 species